GUCGGGGUCACCCGACUAUGGAAAUAAAUGGCCGCCGCAAUAAACCAUUCGGACCCGGGGGCGGUACCCGGCGCCUCCACCA
rnacentral:tmRNA from 1 species